AGUGAACGCUGGCGGUAGGCCUAACACAUGCAAGUCGAACGGCAGCACAGUAAGAGCUUGCUCUUACGGGUGGCGAGUGGCGGACGGGUGAGGAAUACAUCGGAAUCUACUCUUUCGUGGGGGAUCACGUAGGGAAACUUACGCUAAUACCGCAUACGCCCUACGGGUGAAAGCAGUGGAUCUUCUGACCUUGUGCGAUUGAAUGAGCCGAUGUCGGAUUAGCUAGUUGGCGGGGUAAUGGCCCACCACGGCGACGAUCCGUAGCUGGUGUGAGAGGAUGGUAAGCCACACUGGAGCGGAGACGCGGUCCAGGCUACUACGGGAGGCAGCAGUGGGGAAUGUUAGACAAUGGGCGCAAGCCUGAUCCAGCCAUACCGAGUAGGUGAAGGAAGCCUUCGGGUUGUGAAGCCGUUUUGUUGGGAAAGAAAAGCAGCAGGUUGAUACCCCGCUGUUCUGACGGUACCCAAUGAAUAAGCACCGGCUAACUUCGUG
rnacentral:rRNA from 1 species